AAGUGUCUUUGAUGAAUAAAAGUUAUCCCUGUCAGAACUGAAAUGGUGACCAACUUUUGUCUGAGACUUUU